rnacentral:rRNA from 1 species
GACGAACGCUGGCGGCGUGCUUAACACAUGCAAGUCGAACGGAAAGGCCCUGCUUUUGUGGGGUGCUCGAGUGGCUAACGGGUGAGUAACACGUGAGUAACCUGCCCUUGACUUUGGGAUAACUUCAGGAAACUUGGGCUAAUACCGGAUAGUAGCUCCUGCUGCAUGGUGGGGGUUGGAAAGUUUCGGCGGUUGGGGUUGGACUCGCGGCUUAUCAGCUUGUUGGUGGGGUAGUGGCUUACCAAGGCUUUGACGGGUAGCCGGCCUGAGAGGGUGACCGGCGACAUUGGGAAUGAGAUACGGCCAAGAAGCCUACGGGAGGAAGCAGUGGGGAAUAUUGCACAAUGGGCGGAAGCCUGAUGCAGCAACGACGCGUGCGGGAUGACGGACUUCGGGUUGUAAACCGCUUUCGCCUGGGACGAAGCGUGAGUGACGGUAAUGGGUAAAGAAGCACCGGCUAACCACGUG